rnacentral:tRNA from 1 species
GGUCAUAUAGCUCAGUGGUAGAGCACAUGCUUAGCAUGCACAAGGUCCUGGGUUCAAUUCCCCAGUACCUCCA